CGACAGGACGUAAUUCUCAUCAAACAUGCCGCUGGUUAUCUGGAGGUUGAGGAGGAAUGGGGCGUCUCUCGGAGAUUCUUGAACCUCCCUUCUGAUGACACCGUCUUCUGCAGCCUGUCCAUGAGCGCCUUCGUCUACAAAAGACACAAAGGAAACUCAUUAUAGUGCUGGCUGGUCUUCAUGAUGUACGGAGUCCUCUCUGUCUUGUCGACCUUCAUCCAGC